rnacentral:rRNA from 1 species
CUACGUGCCAGCAGCCGCGGUAAUACGGAAGGUCCGGGCGUUAUCCGGAUUUAUUGGGUUUAAAGGGAGCGUAGGCCGGAGAUUAAGUGUGUUGUGAAAUGUAGACGCUCAACGUCUGACUUGCAGUGCAUACUGGUUUCCUUGAGUACGCACAACGUUGGCGGAAUUCGUCGUGUAGCGGUGAAAUGCUUAGAUAUGACGAAGAACUCCGAUUGCGAAGGCAGCUGACGGGAGCGCAACUGACGCUGAAGCUCGAAGGUGCGGGUAUCGAACAGGAUUAGAUACCCUGGUAGUCCGCACAGUAAACGAUGGAUGCCCGCUGUUGGUACUUGGUAUCAGCGGCUAAGCGAAAGCAUUAAGCAUCCCACCUGGGGAGUACGCCGGCAACGGUGAAACUCAAAGGAAUUGACGGGGGCCCGCACAAGCGGAGGAACAUGUGGUUUAAUUCGAUGCAAAGCGAAGAACCUUACCAGGUCUUGACAU